rnacentral:rRNA from 1 species
CGGGGUGAGUAAUGUAUGGGGAUCUGCCUGAUGGCGGGGGAUAACUACUGGAAACGGUAGCUAAUACCGCAUAAUGUCUACGGACCAAAGCGGGGGACCUCCGGGCCUCGCGCCAUCAGAUGAACCCAUAUGGGAUUAGCUAGUAGGUGAGGUAACGGCUUACCUAGGCGACGAUCCCUAGCUGGUCUGAGAGGAUGAUCAGCCACACUGGGACUGAGACACGGUCCAG